GCUGAAACUGCCGACCGCCCUUCUUAUCCACUGGCAUGCGAACGCCGGUCCAUUCGGGAUUUUUAUUAUACGAAUGGAUUUAUCCCAGAUAGUCGUCCCAUGGAGUCAAUCGUACACCGAAAGAACAAUGUGAAAGACUUUGACUCCAUGGCGAUUGAACUGCGUGCAUUGGGUCUGAGCGCUAUUCGGUAGUAAUGUGAGC